AACGAACGCUGGCGGCAUGCCUAACACAUGCAAGUCGAACGAGACCUUCGGGUCUAGUGGCGCACGGGUGCGUAACGCGUGGGAACCUGCCCUUAGGUUCGGAAUAACUCCCCGAAAGGGGUGCUAAUACCGGAUAAUGUCUUCGGACCAAAGAUUUAUCGCCUUUGGAUGGGCCCGCGUUGGAUUAGCUAGUUGGUAGGGUAAAAGCCUACCAAGGCGACGAUCCAUAGCUGGUCUGAGAGGAUGAUCAGCCACACUGGGACUGAGACACGGCCCAGACUCCUACGGGAGGCAGCAGUGGGGAAUAUUGGACAAUGGGCGAAGGCCUGAUCCAGCUAUGCCGCGUGAGUGAUGAAGGCCUUAGGGUUGUAAAGCUCUUUUACCCGGGAUGAUAAUGACAGUACCGGGAGAAUAAGCUCCGGCUAACUCCGUG
rnacentral:rRNA from 1 species